AUGGCACAUGACUUCCUCCUGAGGCAGGUCUGCUUACCCUUUUUCUCUUCUUUUUUUUUUGAACACUUGAAGAGAAAUGAAGCCUUCUUCAGAGUUGGAUAUUUAUUUUUACUUCUUGCAGCUUAUAGUCAGCAGAUGAAGAAGAUUAUUCCCCCAGGCAGAGUGGCCAGUUGCUUGCCUCUCUCUGACCCAGUGAAUGGACCCAUGGGGCAAACUAGAGUCUGUUUGCAGUCUAAUGAUGUUUUAAGUAUCGGAAGGAUCAAGGUGCUCACAAGGAUAACAGUCAAGUUCACUGAACCUCAACUAGGGUGGAGCCAAAGGACAUUCUUCCCAGCACCCUCAGAGGCUUCCAGUUGCUAUUUCCCCCUGGAUUCUUGGAGCCAAACUGUCCUUUGA
rnacentral:lncRNA from 1 species